AUUGUAGUGCUUUCUGAUGGUGCAAAUACAACAAUUUUAGAAGGAGCUCUUGAAAAUGAUUGUUUGGCAGUGUUGAUUUUGGAUUUUUCAUAAACCAUUUUGAUUGCAAUUAUAAUUACACUUACGUUUGUCUGUAAUGGUUUGCUCCAUUUUUAAUGGGAUGUUUUAGGUCACCUUAUCGAAUUCUCACUGCAUUUCAUGGUUUGCUAUGGUUUCUACAUGCAUUUCAUG
rnacentral:misc_RNA from 1 species